GAUGAACGCUGGCGGCGUGCCUAAUACAUGCAAGUCGGGCGAACAGACGAGGAGCUUGCUCCUCUGACGUUAGCGGCGGACGGGUGAGUAACACGUGGAUAACCUACCUAUAAGACUGGGAUAACUUCGGGAAACCGGAGCUAAUACCGGAUAAUAUAUUGAACCGCAUGGUUCAAUAGUGAAAGACGGUUUUGCUGUCACUUAUAGAUGGAUCCGCGCCGCAUUAGCUAGUUGGUAAGGUAACGGCUUACCAAGGCAACGAUGCGUAGCCGACCUGAGAGGGUGAUCGGCCACACUGGAACUGAGACACGGUCCAGACUCCUACGGGAGGCAGCAGUAGGGAAUCUUCCGCAAUGGGCGAAAGCCUGACGGAGCAGCGCCGCGUGAGUGAUGAAGGUCUUCGGAUCGUAAAACUCUGUUAUUAGGGAAGAACAAAUGUGUAAGUAACUAUGCACGUCUUGACGGUACCUAAUCAGAAAGCCACGGCUAACUACGUG
rnacentral:rRNA from 1 species